rnacentral:rRNA from 1 species
UCGGGAAUUUUGGGCAAUGGGCGAAAGCCUGACCCAGCAACGCCGCGUGAAGGAUGAAAUCCCUCGGGAUGUAAACUUCGCAAGAACGGGAAGAAUAAGUAGGGGACAAUACCCCCUAUGAUGACGGUACCGUUUGUAAGCUCCGGCUAACUCCGUGCCAGCAGCCGCGGUAAUACGGGGGGAGCAAGCGUUGUUCGGAUUUACUGGGC